rnacentral:rRNA from 1 species
UGCCGCGUGAGUGAUGAAGGCCUUAGGGUCGUAAAGCUCUUUCGCCUGUGAAGAUAAUGACGGUAGCAGGUAAAGAAACCCCGGCUAACUCCGUGCCAGCAGCCGCGGUAAUACGGAGGGGGUUAGCGUUGUUCGGAAUUACUGGGCGUAAAGCGCACGUAGGCGGACUGGAAAGUUGGGGGUGAAAUCCCAGGGCUCAACCCUGGAACUGCCUCCAAAACUAUCAGUCUAGAGUUCGAGAGAGGUGAGUGGAAUUCCGAGUGUAGAGGUGAAAUUCGUAGAUAUUCGGAGGAACACCAGUGGCGAAGGCGGCUCACUGGCUCGAUACUGACGCUGAGGUGCGAAAGUGUGGGGAGCAAACAGGAUUAGAUACCCUGGUAGUCCACACCGUAAACGAUGAAUGCCAGUCGUCGGGUAGCAUGCUAUUCGGUGACACACCUAACGGAUUAAGCAUUCCGCCUGGGGAGUACGGUCGCAAGAUUAAAAC